rnacentral:lncRNA from 1 species
CAGGGGUAUGGUAGGACUAGAUUUUCUGGAGGGAAUCGACCUCAUUCCUAGAAUCGUUCACUUAUGCCAGCGCGUUCAUCAGCCAGUGCUCCCGCAUUUAGAAUUAGGCAAGAGCAGGGUAAUAAGCCUACUAUGUCCAGGUCCCAGGACAGUGUGAGUAAUAGACCUCAUCCUCCCCUAUGUUUGAAGUGCAGCAGGGACCAUCCUGGUGAGUGCUUAGUUGAUUA